UACGUAGGGCGCAAGCGUUGUCCGGAAUUAUUGGGCGUAAAGAGCUCGUAGGCGGCUUGUCACGUCGGGUGUGAAAGCCCGGGGCUUAACUCCGGGUCUGCAUUCGAUACGGGCUGGCUAGAGUGUGGUAGGGGAGAUCGGAAUUCCUGGUGUAGCGGUGAAAUGCGCAGAUAUCUGGAGGAACACCGGUGGCGAAGGCGGAUCUCUGGGCCAUUACUGACGCUGAGGAGCGAAAGCGUGGGGAGCGAACAGG
rnacentral:rRNA from 1 species